rnacentral:misc_RNA from 1 species
AAAUUGAAAUGACAUUGCAAAGAAAAUUAAAGCAUCAUGAUUUAUUGCUAAUACUGGAAAGCUUUUGCAAAACUGGAAGGGGAAUCAAAUGAAAAACAUCAAAAGGAUGGUUUUGUUCAAUAAACAAGGUAAAUAGCAGCUACCCUUCAACCAACGCUAACAUGCUGCUUAGCUGUCCAGGACUGCUUGGGUUCUAGCUUGACAUUUCCAAUCUGGGCAUUUUCAACACAAACAAAAUCUUUGUAACAUGCUUCCAUCUGUAGAUGUGGAUUCCACAGUACAGUAUCUGACCAAUUUUUAUUCUUGAUGGUUAUUACAUCACCCAAGCCAUUAUCAAGUUGCAGCUCAUCAGGCGCAUCAAGGUAAAUGCAAUCUACAAAGCCAGCGAAAGUGACCACAUCCCUGUCCUCUUUGCCCUCCAUCGGAUUGUUAGGAUCUGGAUCUUUAUUAAGUGUUUUGCAACCUUUCAAACCUUUUACAGAUGCUGCAGUCACAGAAGCACUGAAAUAUGAAUGUAGAGCUGCAGUAAAUGAAAACGGCUUGCUAUCUGUAUUUGUAAUCUUCAGUUCUGUGGAAAUGCUUUUUGCAUUAAGAAUGACCUUGUAUAAAGCCUGGAAACCAAAGUCCCACAUAGAAUGACUGUAAGGACCGUCCUUGAGCAUGAGAGUGACAGCAGGAUUGCCCUCCACAUUUUCGGAAUCAAUAACGGACCAAUCCAUAUUCCUUGCAAAUCCAUGCUGCUGAAUACUACCAGGUCCAAACUGUGGGAAACAAUGUGGAAUUCCUCCACUGAUUGGUUUUUUCUUGUUAAAUACAGCAUCUGGUCUAACAAAAAGGAGGUCCUUCCCGCUGGCAACUUUCCAAGAUGUGAUGCAACCUCCAAAUAAAUAUAUCUCUGCCUCACUACCAUGAGGAGAAGUGAGCACAACCUUUGGCAAGCUACCUUCACCUUCAGUGACCCUUACUCCUAUAGUCCCAGUUUCUUUGUUCACACUCCCAAAUGCCAUGCCAGAGUAUUUGUAUGGCCCGUUGACUCGGCGGAGAUUAAGAGCAGGUGUAGAAGAAAAAGGCAUAGAAAGCAUCGCCAUUGCGAAAAGGUCGGUGGCGGAGCUGAGCCCCUUUCAAGAACCCGUCUGGUCGUUUAUGUCACAGUUGUUACCAUCGGUCGUCUUCGCUCUUCCCUAUAUUCGC